rnacentral:rRNA from 1 species
CCUACGGGUGGCAGCAGUGGGGAAUAUUGCACAAUGGGGGAAACCCUGAUGCAGCGACGCCGCGUGAAGGAAGAAGUAUUUCGGUAUGUAACCUUCUAUCUGCAGGGAAGAAAAUGACGGUACCUUACUAAGAAGCCCCUGCUCACUACGUUCCAGCAGCCGCGGUAAUACGUAGGGUGCAAGCGUUAUCCGGAUUUACUGGGUGUAAAGGGAGCGUAGGCGGUUUAUCAAGUCAGAAGUGAAAGCCCGGGGCUCAACUGCGGGACUGCUUUUGAAACUGUGAAACUAGAUUGCAGGAGAGGUAAGUGGAAUUCCUGGUGUAGCGGUGAAAUGCGUAGAUAUUAGGAGGAACACCAGUGGCGAAGGCGGCUUACUGGACUGUAAAUGACGCUGAGGCUCGAAAGCGUGGGGAGCAAACAGGAUUAGAUACCCCAGUAGUC